UGGGGAAUAUUGCACAAUGGGCGCAAGCCUGAUGCAGCAACGCCGCGUGAGGGAUGACGGCCUUCGGGUUGUAAACCUCUUUUAGCAGGGAAGAAGCGAAAGUGACGGUACCUGCAGAAAAAGCACCGGCUAACUACGUGCCAGCAGCCGCGGUAAUACGUAGGGUGCAAGCGUUGUCCGGAAUUAUUGGGCGUAAAGAGCUCGUAGGCGGUCUGUCGCGUCUGCUGUGAAAUCCCGAGGCUCAACCUCGGGCCUGCAGUGGGUACGGACAGACUAGAGUGCGGUAGGGGAGAAUGGAACUCCUGGUGUAGCGGUGGAAUGCGCAGAUAUCAGGAAGAACACCGAUGGCGAAGGCAGUUCUCUGGGCCGUAACUGACGCUGAGGAGCGAAAGCGUGGGGAGCGAACAGGAUUAGAUACCCUGGUAGUCCACGCCGUAAACGUUGGGCGCUAGAUGUGGGGACCAUUCCACGGUUUCCGUGUCGCAGCUAACGCAUUAAGCGCCCCGCCU
rnacentral:rRNA from 1 species